rnacentral:lncRNA from 1 species
ACCUGAAGUAGUUUCUUUCCUCUCUUGGCAAGCCCCACAAAAACAUCUGCUUGUAAAGACCUGAAAUACAGAGAUGCAUUUUCCUGCAUGAGCCAGGUUUACCCACAACUUUCAAUUAUUGGUUCUAGUCUAAAGAUACACAUAGGGUUUCCAGCAAAGAUCAGUGAUAAGACUCUAGAACAUUCUAGAAUGAUGCAUUAUGAGACCAUGAAUCCUUAGAAUUUAGUGUGGUUUUCUGCUUUGAAAUUCCUUUGCUGUAUUCUGAAAAAUGUUAGAUGAGUUUGGUGGAGAAUUUAGAAAAACUGAUCUUCCAACCCCCCUGCCUAAAAGUGCUAAUUAUUUUCUAUAGUUAGCAUGUUACCCGUGUGGCAGUAUUUUCUCUACUUUUGAUAAUUCCCAUAAAACUACUGCAUUAACGCCUUUGAAAUAUGAUAACCACAGAUUUUAAUACAGCGAACUCCUGAAACUUGUGGUCUGAAGUCUGCCAAAAAGUGACACUGUCCCAUCUGGCACAUUGCUCAUCUGUGGGAUGAGCUUGAGACUGGGUUCUUUCUACCCUCCUAUCUUGACCUGUCCUUUCCUGGUUUCCUUUAAAAUUCUGCUUAAUGCAUGACUGCAGAGUACCAUUGGAGAAUGCAAGAACACUUUUUAAUAGCAAAAUGUAAUAUUUUUGUGUGCAUGGAUAUUGAGACUUUCAAUAGCAAAUCACUAGAAAUUCCGACCAUAUUUUUCUUGCUGAGUUUUUCUUCUCCCAAUAUAAAUCUCUGGAAUUGUGACUUACAUUAGAAAUUCCAAUAUUUGAAAAAUUGGCUAGAAAAUCUAAGUUUUCUUUCAACUUCCAAAACCACAAUUUAGUAUUUAGGAUAUAUUGCUCCAAGCUUAACUAUUUAUUUGAAAUGUCUAUUCCGUAUUCAGUGCUUCCACUCCAAAUGGUUGUGACUUUUCCUGAAUUUGUUGUCGACAUGGAUAUUUAUAUGGACUUGUAGAGGUUUGUAUUUAUUUCAUUGCAGUUAUGGUGUUUAUAAAACAAGCAAGCCAUACAAAACCUUAUUCACAGUCACAGAAUAGUGAUCUAAUAAUGGAGUAAUCAUUCCAACUCACCCUGAAGAUGGUACAACAUACAUACAAACUUAGGAUUAGAUAUAAUACUGCUUAAUACUUAUACAAAAAAGAUGAAUCUCAUGUGUUGGAUAAACCAACAUGAACAUGAUUUCAUGAUUGAAUUCAGAAUUAUGUUUAAUGUCAUAAGAGUAUAAAUCGUGAUAUCUUCGUUUAUUAGUAUGGGAAGCAAUCGCUUUUAUGUCUUUCCAUUUCUCUCCUGCUUUUUCAUCUUCCUCUUUUUCAUUUUUGCCUUUCCCUUCCUGUCUUCGAUGUUAGCUUCUCAGUGGGACCAAGAUGCUUGGCGUCAGUGGCAGAGCCACAGCACUUGGGGAAUCCCUGUACAGACAGAACUAAGUUCUAAUCCUAAAAUCAAAUCUUUAUCGUGACAAUUUUCCAAAAACUUUUUUAAAAUUGCACAAUAUGUACACACACACACGCACCUCACAUGUUUUUUAAAGAAAGACCCAGCAUUUGUUGCACUCUGCGAAUUGAAGAAUCAUUGAUAGUGACACCUAAGCUGAAAUCAUUUCACAGUUGCUGUGCUGGCAUUUAUUGGGUUAACCCCCCCCCCCC